CUGGGCCCCUGUGAGCUGCCACCGGAGACCCCUUCCUCUCUCAUCCAGAGCCAGCAAGAGAGAGGUCUGAGACAUGGCACAGAUCACAGCUAAUGCACUGAAUCACCAACCACAGGAUAACAUGCUGAUUAGAGGCCAGCCUGAAUGAUGGAUGGAUCCUGGGACUCCAGUAGCUGUCAAACCCAUCCCAGUGGCCUUUGUCCUGGAGGAGAGUCUGUCCAUUUUACCCCAAGGAUCUCCUGUCCUGAUGAAAGCUGAAGCCCGGUCUUUCCAGUUGCUCUUUGGACCUCCUGGCGGUAGCAGUUGUCCUCCACGAAGAGAAGUCAUGAGAACAAG